rnacentral:tRNA from 1 species
GGCUCAAAUUAGUCGAACUGCAAAUUGGAUUUUGGGGUUUCCCCCUGGGCUU